UACGUAGGGUGCGAGCGUUAAUCGGAAUUACUGGGCGUAAAGCGUGCGCAGGCGGUUCGUUAUGUCCGUUGUGAAAGCCCCGGGCUCAACCUGGGAAUGGCAAUGGAAACUGGCGGGCUAGAGUGUGGCAGAGGGGGGUGGAAUUCCGCGUGUAGCAGUGAAAUGCGCAGAUAUCAGGAGGAACACCGGUGGCGAAGGCGGAUCUCUGGGCCGUAACUGACGCUGAGGAGCGAAAGCAUGGGGAGCGAACAGG
rnacentral:rRNA from 1 species